rnacentral:rRNA from 1 species
AUUGAACGCUGGCGGCAGGCCUAACACAUGCAAGUCGAGCGAACGGCGGACGGGUGAGUAAUGUCUGGGAAACUGCCUGAUGGAGGGGGAUAACUACUGGAAACGGUAGCUAAUACCGCAUACCAUCAGAUGUGCCCAGGUGGGAUUAGCUGGUAGGCGGGGUAAUGGCUCACCUAGGCGACGAUCCCUGGCUGGUCUGAGAGGAUGACCAGCCACACUGGAACUUAGAUACGGUCCAGACUCCUACGGGAGGCAGCAGUGGGGAAUAUUGCACAAUGGGCGCAAGCCUGAUGCAGCCAUGCCGCGUGUAUGAAGAAGGCCUUCGGGUUGUAAAGUACUUUCACCGAGGAGGCGUGACUCGCAGAAGAAGCACCGGCUAACUCCGUGCCAGCAGCCGCGGUAAUUC